AAUAGUAUGCUUGAAAAAAGAUCGUCGUGAUAGGGCGGGUCAUGAAAGUCAAGCCUUUCUACUAUUA
rnacentral:tRNA from 1 species